rnacentral:rRNA from 1 species
UCUUGCGGGUGCUAUACAUGCAAGUCGAGCGGACAGAAGGGAGCUUGCUCCCGGAUGUUAGCGGCGGACGGGUGAGUAACACGUGGGUAACCUGCCUGUAAGACUGGGAUAACUCCGGGAAACCGGAGCUAAUACCGGAUAGUUCCUUGAACCGCAUGGUUCAAGGAUGAAAGACGGUUUCGGCUGUCACUUACAGAUGGACCCGCGGCGCAUUAGCUAGUUGGUGGGGUAAUGGCUCACCAAGGCGACGAUGCGUAGCCGACCUGAGAGGGUGAUCGGCCACACUGGGACUGAGACACGGCCCAGACUCCUACGGGAGGCAGCAGUAGGGAAUCUUCCGCAAUGGACGAAAGUCUGACGGAGCAACGCCGCGUGAGUGAUGAAGGUUUUCGGAUCGUAAAGCUCUGUUGUUAGGGAAGAACAAGUGCGAGAGUAACUGCUCGCACCUUGACGGUACCUAACCAGAAAGCCACGGCUAACUACGUGCCAGCAGCCGCGGUAAUACGUAGGUGGCAAGCGUUGUCCGGAAUUAUUGGGCGUAAAGGGCUCGCAGGCGGUUUCUUAAGUCUGAUGUGAAAGCCCCCGGCUCAACCGGGGAGGGUCAUUGGAAACUGGGAAACUUGAGUGCAGAAGAGGAGAGUGGAAUUCCACGUGUAGCGGUGAAAUGCGUAGAGAUGUGGAGGAACACCAGUGGCGAAGGCGACUCUCUGGUCUGUAACUGAC